UCUCUGACCUCCCACAGCUCAGCCUCUUCUGAGCCCACCAUCCACAGGGGGCUACCGCAGGGUACCCAGUGAUAGCCUUGGCCUCAAGGAGCGGGGGACUAGCUCUCCCGCGAAUGGUCACCCCUUUUUCGCGACGGUGGAUUUGUUUCUGACCUUUGACCUGGAGCUUCUCUGCUCACGCAGGUCCCUGAACUCCACUCAGGCGUCCAGACCUCCUGUGGGUGAGGAGGGAACUGCUGAGGAAAGGCCCCCCUUCUCUCCAACCCUCCCUCCCUCCUGCGGACCCUACAUCCAGCCAAGGGUAGGCUCUGAGCUAUGAGGGCAAUUAAGGAAGUUUGUGAAACGAUUGUUAUUUCAGGGGUCUACAGUGUCAGUAUUCAUCUGACUAGCCUUUAGAGUGUCUGGGUCAGCCCCUGGGGAAGCACCGGGUGGCAUCCGUGGCUGGGGUCCUAUGGAGAUGUCAGUCCUGUAAACAGAUGAGGGCCCUCAGGGUAUGCGUGCCUUGGUAGUUAUCUCUACUGGAUGAAUGGACAUCCUGGGAGGGAGGUCGGUUCCUACUGGGGGAGGCGGGGCUCAAGAUCAGACUUAAAUAGGGUCUGCGUAGGUGGAAGGGGGCAAAAGGGUAUUCCAAGCGGAGGGAGCCGCAUAUGCAAAGGUAAGAGGCUUAAACCGAGGGGGUACGGCUGGAUUCCGCGCUCUGGAGUAGCCCUGAGGUGGUGAGGGAGCAGAUCAAGCUAGCUUAGGGGGUGUGGACUGGGUCCUGUUGGUGCCUGAAGUGUUUUAAGCAAGGCAUUGGUGCGAUUAUACUUGUUUUUUGGUCGGAAUGUAUGAGCAGCUGAAUAAGGUAGUGAGAGAAGAGUAGAGGCGUCGUAUCUCAGAUUUGUGAAGCCGUAGCGGCGCCGGGUCUCGGGAGUGAAGGUGGGGUAGUGUGAGCGCAUCUGUUUGCAGACAGAGAAAGUUCAGUGUAGUCUGUUCUUUUAAGGCAGUUGGUGAAGAAAGAGAGCAACGUGAGGGUGGGAAGUGAUGCAGAAAUGAUGGAGGAUUUGUCUGUCUUUGAUUCUUUUUUGUUCAAGUUGGGACAGAUUUGAGCUGUGGGAAAAAACUGAAACUGGUACUGUAGUUUUAAAUCUUGAUAAGGUCAAAUGUAUCAGGUUUUUCCAUUAUGCCUUGAACUUGGGUUUUAUUGAAGGAGUUUCCCCUACUGCAAUCCAUAGUUCUAUAUAUAUAUUUUUUCCUACUAUUUAUAACAAGUUAUAUUAGGAAAUAUCUCAAAUGCAGCAUGCAAAGUAGAAAAAGAAAGAAACCUUUGUGCUUAUCAUCUAGACUGAGCAAAUGUUAAAGGUUUAUUUGCUUCAGAUUUUCUGAAGAACUAAAACCUCAUAAAUACUUGAAGGCUUUUUGCACCCUCCCUAUUGGAUUUUCCUUCUUCUCACUCAGAGGUAACUUCUGAAAUUGCUAUGUAUCCUUUCAUGUUUUGUUUUACUUACAAAUAUGCAUGUAGCCAUAAACAAUAUAUACGCUUGUGUUGUAUAUUCAUCACCUUCGCCUGUAUUUCUUUUGGAUUUUUUUCUUAUUUAUUUUUAGUGUGUUGUCUAGAUACAAAUCGGUUUUGCCUUGUGCACAUUGCAAAAAUUUUGAAUGGAAUUUGAUUGGACCUAAUGUUUCUUUGAUGGGUAUAUUUUUGAGUAUGGAUCCAUUUCACUUAAUGUUCUGUAGUUUAUUUGGUUUUCUGUUGCUUUGUUAAUUUGAUUAAUUUAUAUUUUUCUGGAAAGUUGUCCAAUUUAAUUUCAACGUAAUGGCAUUAUGUAUAAUAGUCUCAUAAUUAAAAGAAAACUCCAGUAUAUCUGUAAUUGUCUCCUUUUUCAUGUCCAAAAAUUGUUUCUUUUUUGCCUUUUCUUGUUUUCUUGAUCAGUCCUGCCUGAAGUUAGUCUAUUUCAUUAGUUUAAAAUACAAAACAACUCUUUUAUUAGUUGUAAUAAAUCCUUUCCAAGAAUUGAAUUUAGUUUUUUCUUUUUAAUUUUUCAUUUUGGGCACAAUUUCAGAAUUACAGAAAACUCAUAAUAGUAGAAUGGUGCAAAGAAUUCCUAAAUACUUUUCAUCUACAUUCCCCAAAUGCUAACAUUUUACCACAUUUGUAUAGGGGGUUCCAGGAACUGGAUGGAUUUCAGGGCCAGUUAAGGAAAAAGAUGUAAACAUGAAGUGGCAGGAACACAUGCAAAGAUUAUUUACGCGUGCAUGAGGGAGAAAGGGGCCUCUUGCAGCAUGAGCCCACCCAGAGGCUGGGGCCCAGGGGCCACUUCCCAGAAGAGAGGAGGAUGAGGGAACCCCGGGGGGUAUCUCUGGGUCAAAGCCACUUGGGGUCUUUAUAGCCACAUGGUUUAUAGCUAUCAGAAACUGGGUGUGGUUUCACAGGGUGGGUAAAGCAUGCAGCUUCUAAAUGACUAAAAAUGUGCUGAUAGUUGGACUGUGUUUAAAACAUUCACAUGUGUUGACAUUUGAGUUUGGGGCUGCUGGUCUUUUGAGCUAUUGGUCUCAGUCUGCCGUGAAGAAAUAAACCACCCAGGGGCCAUCUUUGGCUCAUUGCUAAUACAGUUAGCUUUAUCCUGCUUUUCCUCCCCCCGCUAUACAUAUAUAUGUGUGUGUGUGUGUGUGUGUGUGUGUGUGUAAAUACUUCAAUGUGCAUUUCCCAAAAACAAUGGCAUUCUGUCACACAACCACAGUAUAAUGAUCAAAAUCAGGAGAUUAACAUCGAUGCAAUACCAUUGUCUAACCCACAGAUCUUAGUCACAUUUUACUAGCUGUCUCAAUAAUAAUUUUUCUAGCUAAAGAAAAUCCAGGAUCAUGCAUUGCAUUCCCCCCCACAUCUCUUUAGUUUCCUUUACUCUGGAACAGUUUCCCAAUCUUUCAUUGUCUUUAAUAACAUUGACGUUAUUGAAGAAUACAGGCCGGUUAUUAUAGAACAUUCCUCAGUUUAGGAUUGUCUGGUGUUACAUCAUGAUUAGAUUCAGGUAAUAUAUUUGUGGCAGAAUUUUUUUUUAAAUCUGCUUAAUUAUUUCUUUUAAAAUUUCUUCUCAUACUUGUCCUUUUUUUUACGUCUUUUGAGUUUAUUCUUUUUUUCUGUGCUAGCCUCCUGCAUUGAAUGUCAUUAAUUUCCAGUUUUAAUUUAAUGCCUAUCUUAGGGCUAUAAUUUUCCUUUAAGUAUGUGUUUGUAAAUAUCUACCAAUUUUGGUAUGUACUAGUUUUGUAGUCGUUGUAAAUAUUUUUGCAUUCUUUUUAUUUUCUGAUUUUAUUACUUUUUGGUUUAGAGAGUGGCAUCUAUGCAGUAUUGAUUUUUAAAAGAUGGGUUUAGGUUUAUUUUUUAGCUUGUCAAUUUUAUAACUGUAUCAGAUGCACUUUAAAAAAUGUAUAUUUCUCUAACUAUUGAGUUCAUUCUUCUGUCUGAUCCAAUAGGUCAAGCUUUUAAAUUGUUAUUCACAUCUUAUAUAUUCUUACUGGGUUUUUUUUUGUAUCUUAGAUCUUCAUUUCUAAAAGUAUAUACUAAACUCUUUUUGCUGUGAUUGACGAUUUGUCAGUUUCCCCUUGUUGCGUCGCGUCAGUGUUCAGGUGCAUUUGAGCUGCAUACGCAUCGUGUACAUUUGCUGGGGACACGGACCUAAGAUCGAGUUGAUUUCUGGUCAUUGCUUUGUCUCCUUCCAGUGGGUCGUUCUUUCUUGUUUUUUGUCUGUCUCCGAAUUUUUAAAAUGAAUGCCACGCAUUGUGUGUGGGAGACUUCUGCUGGGCCGUUUCAGCGUGCGGAGCUGGGAGUGCAGGAGUUUGGUUGCGACAAGACUGGUCAGCAGUUGCCAGCUGCGCAAGGCUGGCAUUUGUUGUCGCUAUGGUUACUGUCAGCCUCGGCUGGCGUGGCUCUGUGCUUGGAGCCGGCUGGUUGCUGGUCCCCGCUUCGUGGCCGGCUUCCCUCCCCGCCCCCCCCCCCCCCCCCCGGUGCCCCUUGACCCUCCUCCUGCUGGCACUCUCGCCUGCUCCUCGGUGCUGGCUGGCCUGCUGGAGGAGGGGCAGGGUGCUCUUUGUGUCUCAGUCUCAGGAGGGUCCUGGGGUCUUGGGGAUGCUGCCCCUCCCCGCGAGGUUGGCGGCUCUAAAAGUCUGAGCCCAGGACCUAUGUCUGCCCCUCUCCCAUGGGGAUAGUGUGUGUUUGUUUCUUUUUCCUGCCACAUGCCGUGGGUCUUACCAGUGCUCUGGGAGCAACAGGGUUUUGCUAACCUUCCCCCAGCAACACAGGGCUUUUGUUCCUCAGGAGAGAAAUUUCGGGAAGGAUGGGGCUUCUCGCGUUUCCAGCAAUGGCAGCCACUCCCCUCCUGUAGGCCUUCACUACCCAGGGAGUCUCCACGUGGUCUCCAGCUCCGCCCUGUCUGUGUUCUUCCUCUAUAUCUGUAUAACAAACAAAUCACCACACAUUUAGUUGUUUAAAGCAGCUCACAGCUCGGAGGCCAGACGUCCCAGUGGGAUGGCCACGCUCUCUGCUCGGGUCUCUAAGGCCAAAAUCAAGGCACUGGACGGGGCGGCCUCUUCUCCGGCGCUCCGGGGGAGAGUCCGCUCCAGGAGUUCGGGGUCAGGGGAAGUGAGUUUCUGGCGGUUUAGGUCGGAGGCCCCUGCGUCCCUGCCCACUGUCGGCUGAGGGCCUGUCUCAGCAUCUUCUCACACUCACGUCUGUCUUCAAAGCCAGAGACGAUGCACCGGCUCCUUCUUGGGCUUUCGUUCUUCCAGACUCCCCCUCUGACCCCCAUCCGUUUCCAACUCAGAGGUAAAGUGUCCUGCCGAUAUUUUGACCCGAGUCUCACUAUGUCGUCUAUUUAUUUGCAGGUUUUCUUAGUGUCUUUGCAAAGGCUUAGAAUCGGACUGUAGCCAGGGCGGCUCUGUCCUGUCUGCAUAUUCAAGCUUCUUUCUACCCGCUUCUACCUGCAGAGUCUCCGAGGCCGGAGCUGAGCCUCCAGCUGACGACGAAAGAAAAUGGGCGUGAGAGAGGUGUUCAGAGCCACCCAGCUUACUAGAGGCCGAGCCAGCACUAGCCCCCAGGGCUCCUGUCCGGAGGAGGCUGGGCGGGGCCCUCAUCGCUAAGCCCCGCCCCUCCCCACCCUCCACCCCUUCAGACCUUCUCACGGAUUUCCUCUCCUCCAGGGGCAGGACUCUGAUAGGAGGUCAUGGAGAGAGAACCCAGUAAGAUGAUAUAUGUAUAUUUUUAUGCCAUACUUAAGUAUUAAACAAUGAGCACGUUUACUGUUGAAAAAAUUAGAAAAUGUGAAAAACAAAUCCUACCGUGUGAAGGUAACCAUUGCUAACAUUUUGCGUGUUUUCUAUAGAAGUUUUUUCUUUACAUGUUUAUGAAAACCCAUUCCAUGACGAUGAAGCAGGAAAUGGAGUAGAGGGUCACAGACCACUGUUUUUGAGCCACGCUGUUGGGCCCGCCUUCCUGUAUUAGCUUCCUGGGGCCGCCAUCACAAGUACCACAGACUGAGUGGCUUACACAACAGAAAUCGAGUCUCACACAGUUCAGGAGGCUGGAAGUCUGAGAUCAGGGUGUGGGCAGGCUUGGUUCCUCUGAGGCCAUGAGGGAGGACCUGCUCCAGGCCUCUCCCCGAGCUUCUGGAGCUCUGCUGGCAAUCCGUGGUUUCUGCUGCAUCACCCUGACCUCUGUCUCUGUGUCUAAAUUUCCCCUUUUCAUAAGGACGCAGGCAUAUUGCCUUAAGAUCCACCCCAGUGACCUCAUUUUCACUUGAUCGUCUGCAAAGACCCUCCUACUAAGUAAGGUCAUGUUCUGAGGUCCUGGGGGCUAAACCUUCGACAGAGCUUUUGGGGGAACACAAUUCAACCCAUUGUACUUCCCCUCCAGGAUGUUAUCUCAGGGAACCCCAUAGCUGUUGGGUCACUUCAGGUUAUAAUAGAAUAGGCCCCCCUCAGUUGCCAGCUGUCUGUGAACAUCUCACUCUCAUGUCCAGUCUCCAGCUUCUCCCUCCCCCAUGUGGAGCAAGAGGUCUGGGGCCUCGCCAUGGGAAGGGCAUGUGAUGUGUUCUGUCUCUGCUCCUCGAUUCUUCCUUCUCACUGGAUUCCCUCCUUUCUCCUCCAGGGUCAGGGUACGAGGAGGGGAGAGUAGAGGAGAAAAUAGCUCAGAUUUUCCCCUGCUUGGUGUUAUUUGUAGCUCUCACCUGCCUAGUGCUGGCUGCCCUCAACUCUGCAGGAGGCCAUGUGAUGGCCCUUUGUCGGGGUGCCCAGCCUGGGACACCAGCAGUGGCUCUCUGCAGACCUCCAUGCUCUUGGCUCAGUGGUCCUGCCCCUCAGGACCGGCUCUCUUCACCUGCCAGCAGCCUGCUUCAUCAGCACCCCUGCAGUAGGGCUUUAAGCCCACUUAGCCUCCCCAGCAUCCACUUGGCUCCCCCGGGAACCCUCCCAUCCUUGAUCCAGCAAACGUGCAGCUGGCUUCCGCUCUUGCGCCCUCCCCUCCCCUGGCUGCCGUGGGGGGCCUCUGACUUCUGAAUUCUUCAGCUGGAGAGCUGACUCCUGUUUCUGGGUUCCUGCAUGCCCUGAACAUUCAAAGGAGCCCCCCUCUGGGGAGCUUCUGCAGCUGGACAUACGCCAGCCUGGGGCUGUAGUUCUCCCUUUUUCCAGGCUCCCUCCAGCACCCAUGAACAGUUUUCUUGGAGCACACCCCCUCUUGGCUUGCAAGGGGAGCAAUCCCCGACUAGGACGGGAGGCAAGCCCACGGUACACUUGCUCAACAGACAGCUCUCCUUCGAUAAUUCCCUCCCCCAAAGGAAGGAAUCUGUUAGGGUGUGUCUGGAAGCUCCUCCUUAGAACUGGGGUGUUUGGGAUUUAGCUGAAAUUUCCAGGCACGUGGGAAAAAAUCCCAUCCAUUCUCCUGUUACGCGUCUGUGAGUCAUAUGCUAUGUAUCCUGCUUCUUUCACUUGCUGGUGUUGUUGGAAGAUCAUUCCAUGUCAAAUAUUUAUAAUAUUUUAAGUUGAUUCAUAGCUUGGCAUGCUUUAAUUGUAUCAUAAUUUAUUAACCAAUCUCUUAUUUUUAAGCACUUAGGUAGCCUCCAAUUUUUUUAAAAAAGACACCCUCAGAAUUCUUUAUGGAGUUUCUGUAAUUCUAGAGUUUUAGUGUCUCUGCAGAAUUCUUGGAUCAAACUCCAGUGUGUCUCUAUCCUGAGUAGGAACUUACCUAGGACCAACCUCGUGUCUAUUCAGGAGAGAUAGGUGUGGGGUCCAGUUGAUGCUUCCAGCCACAGUAAAUUUGCUCCUGAACCUUCGUGUUCCGGUUCCCUGGGAAAAUGAGGAAAGGAGGAGGGCUCAGGAGAAGUCAUCAGAUCUUGUCCCAUAUUUGGUGUCUGCUUUUCCCAGACCAGCAAGGAAGGACCAUGUGCCAGUAUAAAGAAUGGAUGUUGUGCCAGUGCAGAAAUCUGUGAUUACAGUUGUUGGAGGAAUCCAAACACUCAGGUCUGCAUAAACAGCUGUGUUACGGUUCACACUGACCUAGAUAAAACACUGAAUGAUCUAGAGGAAUGAGUGAGUGGCAUGUUCUUCAAACUGCUGUUCAUAAUCAUUUUUGACACAGAUGGAGCUUAAACAGCUCAAAGCUUCCGUCUUCGGCAGGGGUAGGAGGGAAGAUUGUGCGAGCUCGCCUGCCCCCUUCUCUCUCCGUGACUUAGACCUCACCCAUUGCCCUUGACCUCCCUUGCGUCCUUUCUCACUGGUCGUCAUUAUCUUUCUUCAGACAUCAUGAUAUCGUUGUGUUCUGUCAGCCGGUCAUUCUCACAUGUCUCUGUUCCUAAAGGGCCUCCCUCUUUACCCCGGGCUCUAGGGUUGCAUGAACUUGAAGUGCACUGGUCAGAAUCCUGGAAGUUACAAGAGCGCGAAACCCAGCCAGAGCUAGUUGAGGACAAAGACAAAAAUCUAGGCAGCACCCCAAACUGGGAAGAGCAGGCGUGCAGCUGGGACUGGGAGAGUUCCGCCCAGGGACCCAGAUCUCACCAGGUGUCUCUCUUGUUCUCUUGUCCCUGUUUCUGUGACUCCUUUCCUCAUGCCGACUUCAUCCGUAUGGCCGGAAAUAGGGUGGCCAUCAGCUCUCACAUCGACAAGUUCUGCCGCAGAAUGGGACGAAGUCCCCUUUCAUAGGGCCAGUUUGAAAGAUCUUUGGGAAAGACUGGGAUUGGUCCUGCUUAGUUCGAGGGCUGAGGGGCUGGGUCUGCAGAGGGGCGCUCCCAGGAGCACCAUGUGCUUGGGGUGGGGAGGAAGGAGGAUGUUAGUCCCAGAGGAAGAUGAGACCUGGUGGAUAAACGUUGCAGCCGUCCACUCCAGGAAGGCAAGCAUUCACAGGGUGUUGGUUUUGAGCUCAGGGACCUGUCUUUUUUGCUGCAGAAUGCUCUAUCUACAGGCGCUUUUUUUUUUUUUUAAUUGAAGUAUAGUUGACUUACAGUGUUGUGUUAGUUUCAGGUGUAGGGACCUGUCUUGAUGGGAGUGUCUGUACUUAAUAAAGCUAGGACUAUCUGGAUAUCUGAUUCCAGGAACAUCUGGGACAGGACCAGUCUGAGAGGUUGAAAACCAGGUGGUGACACCACAGCCUCCUCAGAGGAGAGAGCUGACCACAACAUGAGGCUGUCAGACCUGUAUGUGAAGCUGGAGGUUUCAUUUGGUGUCUUCUGGGGGAAACUUGUUUUGUAGGAAACCAAGUCUCACUGGGAGCUUCUCCCUGUUAUGGCUAUGUGUGAUAAAGAUAAUGACAAUAAAACUUAUAAAACUA